AGUGAACGCUGGCGGCGUGCCUAAUACAUGCAAGUCGAACGGAGUGGCGCACGGGUGAGUAAUGUAUAGCUAAUAUGCCCUACACUAGAGGACAACAGUUGGAAACGGCUGUUAAUACUAUAUAGUGGAUGAUGAGGCUGUAUUGUAUCAGCUAGUUGGUGAGGUAUUGGCUCACCAAGGGUAUGACGCAUAACUGGUCUGAGAGGAUGAUCAGUCACAACGGAAGGGAGACACGGUCCAGACUCCUACGGGAGGCAGCAGUAGGGAAUAUUGCUCAAUGGGGGAAACCCUGAAGCAGCAACGCCGCGUGGAGGAUGACACUUUUCGGAGCGUAAACUCCUUUUGUUAGGGAAGCGGUACCUAACGAAUAAGCACCGGCUAACUCCGUGCCAGCAGCCGCGGUAAUUC
rnacentral:rRNA from 1 species